ensembl:lncRNA
AUUAAAAAUAUUAUCCAGUUUGUUUUUGAACAUUUGAAUUGAAAACAAUGACAGUAAGGUACCGAAUUGUUACCCAGAAAAGAUUCAAUAUUGAGAAACAAAUAGCUACAUUGAACUUUUAAUACAGAUGUCUUUCAAGAUAUAAUAUUUUCUAUUGUCCCGUAAAAUCAAAUUCCUUGCUCACGUAAGAACCUGAAGUCAUCAGGAACCUCUUUGUCUUGGUAUUAAUGGACAUUUUUCAUGUCUAGAGGCUGAUCCAUCCCUCUGGGCAGUGUAUAUUAGAGGCUGAUCCAUCCCUCUGGGUAGUGGAUAUUAGAGGCUGAUCCAUACCUCUGGGUAGUGGAUAUUAGAGGAAGAUUAUGUUAAUUCCCUUUUAAUGUAGGAGCUGCUUGAAAGAAACCGCCUGACAUUUCAAUCUGUUUUGGUGGGAGGAGUUUUGGCCUGCCCUGUGACAUCACCCGGUGAUACAUUUCAAAUAGAAACAGUUUCAAACCUCUCUGCCAAUAACAGCUAGUUUAAAGUUUUCCCCAACUCCACUCAGACCUCUACUAGACAGUCCCAGCUAAUUUCCUGCUUGACAAGUUGCUCUAUUUGUGAAGAAGCUAUAUUUGUAAAAAAAAAAAAAAAAAAAAAAAAAAAAGAUGUUUUUAUUGAAAACAUUCACAGUAAGUUACUUAAUUGUUCCCCAG